AGUUUGAUCCUGGCUCAGAUUGAACGCUGGCGGCAGGCCUAACACAUGCAAGUCGAGCGGUAGAGAGAAGCUUGCUUCUCGUUGAGAGCGGCGGACGGGUGAGUAAUGCCUAGGAAUCUGCCUGGUAGUGGGGGAUAACGUUCGGAAACGGACGCUAAUACCGCAUACGUCCUACGGGAGAAAGCAGGGGACCUUCGGGCCUUGCGCUAUCAGAUGAGCCUAGGUCGGAUUAGCUAGUUGGUGAGGUAAUGGCUCACCAAGGCGACGAUCCGUAACUGGUCUGAGAGGAUGAUCAGUCACACUGGAACUGAGACACGGUCCAGACUCCUACGGGGAGGCAGCAGUGGGGAAUAUUGGACAAUGGGCGAAAGCCUGAUCCAGCCAUGCCGCGUGUGUGAAGAAGGUCUUCGGAUUGUAAAGCACUUUAAGUUGGGAGGAAGGGCAGUUACCUAAUACGUGAUUGUUUUGACGUUACCGACAGAAUAAGCACCGGCUAACUCUGUG
rnacentral:rRNA from 1 species